GAUGAACGCUGGCGGCGUGCCUAAUACAUGCAAGUCGAGCGAAUGGAUUAAGAGCUUGCUCUUAUGAAGUUAGCGGCGGACGGGUGAGUAACACGUGGGUAACCUGCCCAUAAGACUGGGAUAACUCCGGGAAACCGGGGCUAAUACCGGAUAACAUUUUGAACCGCAUGGUUCGAAAUUGAAAGGCGGCUUCGGCUGUCACUUAUGGAUGGACCCGCGUCGCAUUAGCUAGUUGGUGAGGUAACGGCUCACCAAGGCAACGAUGCGUAGCCGACCUGAGAGGGUGAUCGGCCACACUGGGACUGAGACACGGCCCAGACUCCUACGGGAGGCAGCAGUAGGGAAUCUCCCGCGAUGGACGAAAGUCUGACGGAGCAACGCCGCGUGAGUGAUGAAGGCUUUCGGGUCGUAAAACUCUGUUGUUAGGGAAGAACAAGUGCUAGUUGAAUAAGCUGGCACCUUGACGGUACCUAACCAGAAAGCCACGGCUAACUACGUGCCAGCCGCCGCCGUAA
rnacentral:rRNA from 1 species